UGAGACUUUCAGCUCAGUCAUUUCCCUGUUGAAUGAGGAUCCCCUGCCCCAGGACUUGCCUGUGAAGAUGGCUUCAAUCUUCAAGAACUUUGUCAUUACCUAUAACCGGACAUAUGAGUCAAAGGAAGAAGCCCGGUGGCGCCUGUCCAUCUUUGUCAAUAACAUGGUGCGAGCACAGAAGAUCCAGGCCCUGGACCGUGGCACAGCUCAGUAUGGAGUCACCAAGUUCAGUGAUCUCACAGAGGAGGAGUUCCGCACUAUCUACCUGAAUCCUCUCCUGAGAGAAGAGCCUAGCAACAAGAUGAAGCAAGCCAAGUCUGUGGGUGACCUCGCCCCACCUGAAUGGGACUGGAGGAGUAAGGGGGCUGUCACAAAAGUCAAAGACCAGGGCAUGUGUGGCUCCUGCUGGGCCUUCUCAGUCACAGGCAAUGUGGAAGGCCAGUGGUUUCUGAACCAGGGGACCCUACUCUCCCUCUCUGAACAGGGUGAGCAUCUCGCUCUAUCCCUGUGUCCUCAGCCUAGCCCCUCAGGAGGGCUUCUUGGGACCAGCCUUCUGUCUCCUAGAGCUCUUGGACUGUGACAAGAUGGACAAGGCCUGCAUGGGCGGCUUGCCCUCCAACGCCUACUCGGCCAUAAAGAAUUUGGGAGGGCUGGAGACAGAGGAUGACUACAGCUACCAGGGUCACAUGCAGUCCUGCAACUUCUCAGCAGAGAAGGCCAAGGUCUACAUCAAUGACUCCGUGGAGCUGAGCCAGAAUGAGCAGAGUGAGUGAGGGGCGGGGUGAGGUGAGGUGAGGUGGGGCCGGGGCCUGGGUGCCUACUGAUGCCACCCCUUCCCAUCUCAGAGCUGGCAGCCUGGCUGGCCAAGAGAGGCCCAAUCUCCGUGGCCAUCAAUGCCUUUGGCAUGCAGUUUUACCGCCAUGGGAUCUCCCGCCCUCUCCGGCCCCUCUGCAGCCCUUGGCUCAUUGACCACGCGGUAUUGCUUGUGGGCUACGGCAACCGUGAGUUCCGCUGCCUGUCCUGCAUCCUGCCAGGCCACAGGCAGGGGUGGGAUCACAGCAUCUCAGGUCCUCUAGAGGGGAAAUAGGGGGAAUGCCUAGGAACCCUGUCCUUACCCACUGCCUGGGCCAUGACCAGGUGGGCAUCAUCUGUCCUCUCUAUGGAAGGGAAGCUGAGCUGUGGGAGGGUAAAUACUGAUGGCCCAAUAACCUGCAAGAGGCGGGUGGGUGGGUGCUUCCUCCCUCCCCCAGGGCUUCUCCCUGAGGCUGGUAGGCGGGCCCCUCGCUUUCUGCUCUUUUCCUAGUCCCUGUCACACAGUAGGCCCAGUGCAAGUAUUUGAAGGGUGCAAAGUGAUUAAGGCUCUGCCUGGAGAAUUAAGGACCCUCAUCCUUGCGCUCUGCACUGCACCCCAGGCUCUGACGUUCCCUUUUGGGCCAUCAAGAACAGCUGGGGCACUGACUGGGGCGAGAAGGUGAGUCUUGCCGGCUUGGCCCCUGGCCCUCCAGCCGCCAUCCUACACCGGUGCCCUCACCAGCUCCCCCUCUCCCCCAGGGUUACUACUACUUGCAUCGCGGGUCCGGGGCCUGUGGUGUGAACACCAUGGCCAGCUCAGCGGUGGUGGACUGAGGAGGGGCCCCCAGCUCAGGACCUGGUGCUGAUCAGAGUGGCCGCUGCCCCAGCCUGACGUGUCCAGGCCCCUCCCCGGGAGGUACAGCUGGCAGAGGGACAGGCACUGGGUACCUCAGGGUGAGCAGAGGCACUGGGUGGGGCACAGCCCCUGCUUCCCUGCACCCCACUCCCACCCUGAAGUUCUGCACCUGCACCUGCACCUUUGUUGAAUUGUGGUAGCUUAGGAGGAUGUCAGGGUGAAGGGUGGUAUCUUGGCAGUUGAAGCUGGGGCAAGAACUCUGGGCUCGGGUAAUGAGCAGGAAGAAAAUGUUCUGAUCUUAAGCCCCAGCUCUGUUCUGCCCCGCUUUCCUCUGUUUGAUACUAUAAAUUUUCUGGUUCCCUUGGAUUUAGGGAUAGUAUCCCCCUCCAUGUCCAGGAAACUUGUAACUACCCUUUUCUAACAGCAAUAAAGAGGUGUCCUUGUCUCCA
rnacentral:sRNA from 1 species